rnacentral:rRNA from 1 species
CAGCAGCCGCGGUAAUACGUAGGAUCCAAGCGUUAUCCGGAUUUAUUGGGUUUAAAGGGUGCGUAGGCGGACCCUUAAGUCAGUGGUGAAAGUUUGCAGCUCAACUGUAAAAUUGCCAUUGAAACUGAGGGUCUUGAGUGUAAAUGAGGUAGGCGGAAUGUGUUGUGUAGCGGUGAAAUGCUUAGAUAUAACACAGAACACCAAUUGCGAAAGCAGCUUACUGGGAUACAACUGACGCUGAGGCACGAAAGCGUGGGGAUCAAACAGGAUUAGAUACCCUGGUAUUCCACGCGAGUAAACGAUGAAUACUAACUGUAUGCGAUAUACUGUAUGUGGUACAAGCGAAAGCGUUAAGUAUUCCACCUGGGGAGUACGUUCGCAAGAAUGAAACUCAAAGGAAUUGACGG